CGUAAGAAGGCGCCUCAGUCGCUUCGGCAAGAUGGCCACGCUGGAUCAAUGAAACGCGAGUAAUCGUAGUAAAAACAGAAAUUGACAAGUGCGCGGUCGAAUAUCGAGGGCUGAUUACGGUGUAAAUGGAACAUGGGGAAGGACCAGGAGCUGCUCGAGGCAGCGAGAAGCGGAAACGUCACUGUGGUCGAGAAGAUACUCGGACAAAGAGCGAAGAGGAGUGGUCCACUGGCAAGUUUACGACGAGGUCCGGGUGCUAACGUGCAAGAUGCCAGUGGAUAUACAGCCCUUCAUCAUGCAGCUCUCAAUGGUCAUCGUGAAGUAGUCAAGUUAUUGCUCCAAUAUGAGGCUUCUACCAACGUCGUAGAUGCUAAAGGAUCUUCGCCACUUCAUUUGGCAGCUUGGGCAGGUGAUGCUGAAAUUGUGCGGUUAAUUCUUAGCCAAGGGCCCUCGGUACCUAAAGUCAAUCUAGCGACAAAGGACAACGAGACGGCCUUGCAUUGUGCUGCACAAUAUGGACACACGGAAAUAGUGGCGCAGCUGUUGCAGUACGGAUGCGACCCGAGUAUCCGCAACAGCCGCGGAGAAUCUGCUCUCGACCUCGCCGCACAAUAUGGCAGAUUGGAAACAGUGGAGCUACUAGUACGAACCCAUCCAGAGUUGAUUGAAUCUCUACGUAGUUCUUCUUCGUCUUUGAUCUUCCCACAUACUCCAUUGCAUUUAGCAUCACGUAAUGGACAUAGAGCCGUCGUGGAAGUUCUACUCGCUGCGGGAGUGGAUGUCAACACAAGAACGUCCGCUGGUACAGCGAUGCACGAGGCGGCACUUUGCGGUAAGAUGGAGGUUGUCCGAGCACUUUUGGACAGAGGCGUGGAUCUGGGAAUCAGGGAUUCUCGUCAAAACACCGUUUUAGACCUUUUGGGACAAUUUCCGCCACACGUCACCCAAGAUAUUACGGCUGUAAUAAAGAGGCACAGGUCUUCUUCCGGAGUGGAAAGCGAUGCCGACAGUGAGAACUUGCCACCGAUUCCGGUUCAGGGUGGUGACUCGUUGGGUAGCCCUUAUGAGAAUGUACGCCCUGGGGAUGAUCUUUCUCCGGCGGAAGGGACGUCGCCCACUCAAUGGCAGUUCUAUCAUAAGCCUCGGGAUGAUGAUCGCCGUGUCUCCGGAACUUCCGUUAUGUCUUUCGAAGACGGGCAGAAUAGGGGACCAGUGAAUGGAGUACGGAGGACUAUCCCGCAGACAGAGGAUUACUCCGACCUCAGCUCAGUCUUCGACAGCGUUCUCAUGUCCAUGUCUGACACUCUCAACUCCAUAAAUACUCUUGAAAGUUCCGACCAAACACCGGAAGACAAAGUACAAAACACUAUCACCUCUAGAACACCGUUACAACCACGUGACACGACAGGGGGUUCGGAUAGCGGAUUGUAUCAAACGCCACCUGUACCAAGAGGAACUAUGGAGGGUAGCUUCGUGUCGGAGGAUCUGUCCUUGACAUUGCCCACGGGAUAUGGUGGUAACAGGGAGUCCGAUCAAUUGAGCGUCUCCUCGUCAUCUAGCGUUGGUGGACCGAGUCCACGGGAACGACGUUGUUUGGCCAACGAUUCCGGUGCCCCUGGGAUUUACUUACCAAUGGCGCCCCUGUCCAGCUCACUUCAUAGCCCUGCCUCUAACAGCAAAGUUUCCCCGACACCGCCGAAGAAACCACCGAGGCGUAACCUAUCGGUUUCGCCGACGCACCUGCAGACUCAAAUGUCACUUUCGGCGGACUGUUCGUUGGGUCCGAGUAACUACGAGUACUUGUUCUUAGCGCGUAGCGGUGCGCGUAGUCACAUCGAUCUUGAACAGCUGCAAAAACGUCGUGAGCAGUUACGACACGUGACGAGAAGCGUGGACCAGUACGUGGAAAUGAAAUCUCGUUUCGUGCCGUCCGUGGAAAGUGGCAAUCGACGAGAGGCAAUGCCAAUAACGACAAUAACAACAACAACAACAACAGCGAACACCAAUGUAGAACCAAUUGCAAUAACAUCUAUUUACGAGAAUCGCCCGAUAAAGAUGUUAAAUCCACGAAGGAAACUUCGUAGGCACGCUUACGAAGGCUAUGAGCUUGAUAACAACGGCCCUUGCGUCGAUAAGUCGCCCUGUAGCGAGAACGAUUCUAUACAUCAGGAACAAACCUUCGUCUCUAACGCCUUCCUUACUUUGAAGUCUUCCCAAGAAAGCUUGCUAGACGAAAAACGAGAGAUUCCUGAUGGUGGUCAUACAAUGAUGGUUCAGGAUAACAGAGAGGCAACAGAUAAAAGACUCAGACGUGUACAAAUGAUGUUUCCUACGAGUCCAACUCAUUACGUUCAACCACCGACUCCCGAUCAUCCACCACCUUCUGCCAUGCAAGCUGAGAAAUCGAUUCACGAACGUAUUCGUCCGUUGAGCCAGGUUUAUAAAAGAAGAUCUCGCGACAUGGAAACGGAAACUGAUGAGGAUUUGCUACAAUUUCCUGCAAGCGGUUCUCUCGAUGCAUCCAGCGGUUCUUUAUCGAGCGUUUCUCUUUCGGACAAGAGCAUGUCUACCGACAACGUUGAGGAAUACUUCGGAGACGUGCCCUUCGCAGGUUUGUUAAAGGGCUCCGUCACAGCGGAGCGGCCGCGUACAUUGCGCCGUUUGCGGAACGUUUACGGACAGUCCGCAUGCGGAAUGGGAACCGGCGGGGAGGGUGGCGGUGGUGGAGAACGUCUUGAAGACGACGAAGUGAAUUUUCGAUUAUCUGAUAGGGAUCGUGAAAGAGAUGAAAAAUCACUUAGCAUAAUGAGUCCGUUUGAUGAGCAAGAAGAAUGGGCAAAAAUUUCUGAGAUUAUGGCAUCCUUUGGCACAGGACUCGUACGAGAAUCGGUUUUCGUCACUGAACUCGAAAAAGAAUUCCAAACAAGAUUAGGCUUAAGUUCCGAUACCAGUAGCAGUCCUAUUGUUUCCACGUCAGUCGGUCAAUGGUUAGCGAGUUUAGGACUCGCUGAUUAUGAAUCCCUUUUCAUAAACUAUGGUUUCGAUGAUCUUGAAUUUAUAAACGGAGUUCUUGAUGAAUCCGAUUUGAGAGACAUGGGAAUCAAUAGUGAUCAAGAACGUGCGAUAAUCAUGGACGCUGCCGGCUUGUUGAAUAAACGUGUGGAGAAGCAUCUUGGUAGUCACUGUCAGAGCGUGGACGAAUGGUUGAAAAGCAUUCACAUGGAGAAUUAUAUGGAGACCUUCAGAAAACAUCUUUACACCGACAUGGAACGCGUGAGUCGUAUCUGGGAAGUCGAGUUGGCUGCAGUAUUAGAGAUUCAAAAGUCUGCACAUCGAAAGCGAAUCCUGGCUUCGGUCAGUGGACCGAAUCCUCGAGCUCAGACGCGGAACGGUACUGGCCCUAACCUCGAGGAUCUCAAUAAGGAUUUGAACACCUUAUUUCGUCGUUGUUGGUCUCUGCAGAAAACGAAUAUACAACAGCUGAAGGAGGAAAUACGAGAGAAAUUGCCGGAAACAACAGGGGAGAGUAACGGGAGUGUCUCGGUAACCGUAACAAAUUCGAUGAACACUGGUACACUGAGGCAUCGCAAAAACAGACCAGCUCCACAACCACCUCAACGACCCAGUUCGCACAACGGUGCGAUCACUGCUCCUGAACAGCUCGAGAUCAGAGCACCUUCGGAAUUAUUAUUUGGUGUACCAUCUACUUUAAAGACGCAAUGGAGGCAUCAACCCAAGGCUCUAGUCACUGGCUGCGUCAACUAUGUUGCCAACUACCUGGGCUCCACCGUCGUGAAAGAAUUAAGAGGUACAGAGUCGACCAAGAAAUCUAUUCAAAAACUCAAGAAGACUUGUCGUGACACCAGAGUCACGCCUGAUAUAACCCUUGCCAUCUCUUAUCGGGGCGUACGGUUUUUGAAUACAUUGACCAAUGAGCCAAUCUGUGAACAUGAGAUACGCAAUAUUCACUGUGCUUGUCAAGAUGCCGACGAUCUUACACAUUUUGCCUACAUCACCAAGGAUCAUGCGAGUCGCACACAUUUCUGUCACGUAUUCUGCGUGCCAACUAUGGACCAAGCAACCGAAGUUAUCCUAACGCUGGGCCAAGCAUUCGAGGUAGCUUAUCAGAUGGCAUUGAGGGACAAGUUGGGGGGACACGCCGUACGUUCUCAAUCGGCCAAUCAGUUAGUUUCGCUUUCGAGCUCGACUAAAUCCAGUGGAAUAAUGGCAAAGACAUCCUCUCCUGAGUCAACUAUUGAACACAUCCGAGAGAGCGAUCAUGAGGUCACUGCAACCAUUCCAAGUAUGUACAUUCUGGAAGGAUAUCAUCGUGUACUUUUCAACUGCCUUCAAAGUUAUGUACAUACAUGGAGCUUCGAAAAUACGCGAAGGCCAAGCCGAGCAUGGAACGGUCCGACACAAAAGAACGCCGUAAGAAAAGGAAAAGCACGAGUCACGCCGUCGGAAAAUAACGUCCCUGUUGUUGACACGUUCUUCGACAUUAGAACUGAGUUUCCAACGUGUCGCGUGGAUGGCCAUCAAUUUUCUCCUAAGUGAGCCUAAUUCCAUUCCAUGGUUUUACGUCAUUGACAUAUGCCGCUCCGUUGAAGCAUAGAGAUGAUUGCUUAGGAACGCGGAAAAUAUUACGAUGUACUAUGAUGUACUAUGAUGACAAGUAGCUUUUUGAGGAAAGUUGACUCAGGCUCUGAUCGAGUGCCAGUCGUAAGAGAUUCAUCGAUGAAGGAGCAAGUUUUGCGGGACGAGAGGAUCUUUUCUAAGCCGAGGAUAUCGCAGGGAUCGUUUCGAAGGGGGUGAAGUCUCGAAGAAGAAAGAAUUCCACCAUCUGUUUCUCUUAUCCUUUUUCUCAUCCGCCUUAUCGCCAUUAUCGUUAUUUUUCUCCCCUUUUACGUUUUCGCUUUUAUAUCGUCUGUAUUUUGAAACCAUACGGUCAUUUCGUUAUAUGAAAUCAUAUCUAUUACUUUAACGUUUAGUUUACGUAUUUAUUUAUCAUUUCUAAGAGAAACUUUUGUUAUCUUUAAAAUUUUUUUUGUAUCAUAUUUACGUUUUGUCGUCUUUCAACAUUCUUUCUAUUUGAGGAUCAUUAAUAUUUAUGGUAGAAGUCAGAUGCACGUAUUUUGUUGCAUUAAAAAUUUCAUUGAUAAAACCAAUAUUGAGUGAUUAAUCUCGAUUUACGAAAAAUAAUUAAAUUAAACGAUUCCGACGUCACUUUUUAAAACGAAUUUCAAUUCGUUGGAAAUAAAACGGCUACUGGGGAGGUUAUAAUGAACGCUCGAAAAGUCGAACGAGCGAAUAGAAGCAAUUAAUAAAACUUCAACGUGCGAGUAAUUAAUCAGCCUCAUUAGGCAGAAACUAUGCUAUGAGUGACGAUACAACGACACAACUGUACACGACGUAAUACAACUCUCUUUUCCUCUUUCAAUCUGUCUCUCUUUCUCUCUCUCUCUCUCUCUUUCUCUCUCUCUUUUUCCUUUCUGUCUAUCUUUUUAUGUUUUAUAUUCAAAACCAUAUUACGCUCCCUAUCGAAUAUUGUUUCGUUGGAUGGAUUCAUGAAAAUCGAGUAAACUUAAAUGAUCCAACUAUACAAAUUUCGAGAAAUUAUAUGUUUGCUUUGUCACAAAUACGACGUAUAGAUUUAAACGAGUCUCCGGAGAAUAGAGAAAAUGUAUGGCUCGAUAUAUCCGAUUAAAAAAUCGGAUAAUCGAUUAGAUGGACUCGAUUGAAUCUGUAAAUAUUUUCAAUAAAGAAAUAUUCCGCGUAAAACCACGAGCGAUAUAUAAAACUCAUCAUUCGUAAUAAACUUUUCAAUCCCCCGUACGCUCAUAGUAAGAAAAAAGUAUAUAAAACAUUAAAGCUCAAACGUAGUACGAAGUAUAAUUACGUUCUAUACGUUGCGUUACAUAAUUAUAAAGUAAGUAUACAAUUAUUUGGUAAGAUAGAGGUAAAACAUGUUUUAACAUUUGCAUUUCACAAUUACCGAUUUUUUGUAAUUGCAGCAAACAUAAGUAACUGAAUGUUCAUGAACUAUAAUGCACUAAUGAUUCCUUUAUUUAGUAUUAAUGAUUCCUUAUUAAGUAUACUUCCUCAUAAGGGAAUCUUCAUUAUUUACUUGUAGAAAAUAUCAUCUGUUAUCAUCAUUGUUUUAUUCAAAGAAACCAAAUUUAAUUGUUGAGUUUUCAAGUUUACCUUGAUGAAGAACCUCAUGAUUAGAAUACUUAAACAGUAUUUUUUAAAUUUUGGAUAUAAUCUAAAAAAAAAAAAAUCAAAACAAUUCUUCGAGAUAAGGAGAAAUAAUAACGUUAUAUUGUUUGAAUAGAAUUUCUAUUGAUUUCGAUUAAAUAUAUGUAUAUGAUUCUUGAAGAAGACUUUCAAGAUCAAAAUAUCAGAUGGAAGGUGAUUGACGAGAUAAAUGAAAAGAUCGAAAGACAAUCGUAAACGUUGUAAAGGAGAUCAGCGAUGCAUUCUGGGUCCAGUGAUGGUUAAGGCUGAUGGUGAGAAGGUAGCUUCGACCGAGUGAUUCUCCGCGCCGGCAACCGGAGAGACCUUUUUCUCUCCGCGCGCGUGCACGAGCGGCAGGCGCGCGUGUAAGAGCACCCGCUGCCUGGUUGGCGCGCGUUCGUUCGUCUGAUGCUUAAUACCGGUUUCACGGCUUGAUAAGCCGAAGCGUGUAAUUUUGCACCGGCUCCGGAGUCGGAUAAGCACCAGGUUUUCUAGUUAAGUGGACCACAAAAUUCGGGGAAGCCUAUAUAAGGCUUUUCGAGGAAGAAGGCGAUCAGUCGAGCCACGGAGCUCACCGUCGCAGCAUCGUCCUCGAGCAUAUCGGAUCUUUUGCCCUUAUUUUUUCUAUCCAUCUCUUUUUCUUCUUCUUUUUAUUCUUCCUCAAUAUAUUCUUCCUGAACACCCUUUGACUCUGGUGAAAAUAGUUCGACGAAUGGAAAAGGAACUAACACAUCAUUGCUUAGAUAUUUAGUUAACAAACUUUUUCUAAUCAUUUCAGCAUGUUUUUCCCUAGAGAUCUUUUAGUGAUUUUUUUGUAUGAAUUUAUAUUCAUUCGAUAUAUUCAAUACAUUUACGUUCGAUCAUCGUCUCGAUCGCCGUAGUAUUAUUCGAAGAAUUUGAGUUACGAUGAAAACACAUUGUCGUACUUACAUGUUCAGUUAGUACAAAAGUUAUUACGAAAUUCUGUACUUUGAGCGAUAUUUCUGAGCAAACUUUCGCGAAUGUCGAAGGUAAAUCUUUAAUUAGAACGCGAUGAAAGUUAGCGUGUUCGUGAAAAGAAAAAGAAUGUUAUUUCAAAUUUGAUUUGCCAUUCUAUGUUUAACGAAAUUUUUCGUAUAUUUUUUUAACGAAAAAAUUGUAAUUUAAUAAGGCGUACUGGAAAAAAAUUGAUUAAGAUUUUUAAAAGCUUAUCAAACAAUUUCAUUUCUUCUUUUUAUGUACGAGUGAUGAAUUAUCGAAAAUUUUAUGAAAAUGAAAUGUAAAAAGAGCGACGAAAUAAAACGAGGAAGAGAAAUCGAAAAAUCGUGGAUCAAGAGGACUCGGAGCUAACGGGGGACUCGGAGGACGUAAAAGGGAUCCUGAAAUUCGGCGAAGAGUGUAACAUGCGAAAGAGAAAAAUCGGAUAUUCGGUCGUCAAGUAGUCGACAAUGUUGAAGAAGAAGAAGACGAAGAGUAAGAGGAAAAAGAGGAGUAGGAAGAGGAGGAGGUCGAGUGACGUUGACGUUAUUCGGCAUGAAGCGACGUACGUCGGGUAAGCGCGAGAAUGCAAGCCAGGUGGUUUGAAGGCUCUUCAGGUCAAACGAGUGGAGCUGCUGGUGUAGAGGAUGGGACGGAAAGAAGAAAAGGGUGGCUGGAAGGAGGGAAAUGCGGGAGGGGGACGAUAGAGUAGAUAGACGAAUGGAAUGAGGAAAAGAAGAAGAAGGAGAAGGAGAUGAAGGAGGAGAAGGAAGAGGAGAAGGAAGAGGAGAAGGAAGAGGAGAAGUAAAAGAAAGAGGAGGGGAUGGAAGAGGAAAGAGAAUGUAGACAGGAAGGAUGUUCGUCAAGUGCCAUCGACUUAACUUGUACCAUGGCAGAACGAGCACGAGUCCAUGUGCUCCUCCAAGGUUGAAGAGUAAGAGAGAUGAGAGAGAGAGAGAGAGAGAGAGAGAGAGAGAGAGAGAGAGAGAGAGGGAGAGAGGAAGACCGAAGCAUGCCGGCAUAAUAAGCUUUGUGCGCGACUGUCGAGAGAAUCCUCUCUCGCGGAGAGCUGAAGAGCUGCCGAGAAGUAGAAGAGCUGUAGUUGCGGUAGCAAUAGCAGCAGCAACGGCAGCAAUGGGCGAACGGCUCAGCCUUUGCCCUCUGACUCCCACCGGAUGAGGAGGAAGAAGAGAAAUAAGAGAAGCCAAAAGAAAAGUCGACCAUCCGUCGAAUACGAAAGAUGCGAAUCCGUUUCGUCUUUUCUGCUCCAAUCUUACCUUUCUCCUUUUACUUCCUUCUUUAUUUUUAAUUACGAAUUACUCCCAAAAAAAAAAAUUGAGGAGCUAAUUACCUUGGAUGGUUUAAUCGGUCCGACCUAGAAUUUUUGUUUCUUUUGCGUAGAAAAAGUAAAAAAGGUAAUGAUAGUAGAAAGCCCGUUGACUUAAAUACGUCAUCUACAUUCGCGACACUUCGUUUAUGUUUUAGUCGGAAUCGGGUUAUGUGGUUGAAGAAAGAUUAUUAUAGUUCUUUUGAAGAAAAAUUUAUUUUUAACGUUCGAACGACAAUUGAGGACUCUAGUAAAAUCGACUUUGGUUGACUUUGGCCGUGAAUACGUGUCUAUAGAGUAUAUACUGAACAGGGCUGUAAGUGGGUUAAAGGCACUAGUUGUGUAGAGGGUAAAGUGCAUAGUUUGCUUGCGCUCGAAAACAACGGAGAGUGGAUCGCCUAACGAAGUGUAUUUGCUGCGAGCCCACGGGAACGAAAUAUGGGGAGCGAGCGGGAGCCAAAGGAAAACGUAAUCCGGGAUAAGUCGUUAACAGUUGACUCAUUCUCCUCUUCGAGCUAAAGGAUAUCUAGACACUCCGAGCCCUCACUCGUUUGUUCCCAGAGCGGCCUUUCGUUCGUAACGAAACAAAGGAUGCGCGCGCGAAUUUCCAGCAGUUUAUACGUAUAUGUAUAUACGUUAUAUGUUUAUAUACAUAUAUAUAUUUAUAUAUAUACAUAUAUAUACAUAUAUAUAUGUACAUAUAUAUGUGUGUGUAUCAUAUAUUUGCAUUUUGCGUAAACAUGCCGACAAAUAGUUACAGAUGAAUAUUUCACUCGAGAAAUAAUGGGAACUCUCGUUCUGCUUAUAAAACAAACCGCGCGAGACUAGUAUAAUAAUCCUAUCUCGAUCUCAGCUCAUAACAAUUCCAGUUUAUCUCUUCGUAUUGGUCUUAUUACUAUGUGGUUUAAAGAAGAUCGUUAUCGUCUACGGAUUUACGCGUUUGUUAAGAUCGAUUAACCUUUUGAUUGAGAGCCGUUCUAAGCUGAAGUGCUUCAUGUAAGCAAUAUGCGGCCCGUGGAUGCGAUUGCUAGGGACAUACAAAUGAGACAAUAGUAAACAACCAAAACCUUAGCUGGGCGCAUAUAUGCAUCCAUAGCAGUUAAAGGAUUAAAGAAAACAGAAAAAAGAAAGUAAUAAAAAAGAUAUGGAAUAAUAUUGGAACUGGAACGAUGAAUUCGUCAGUGCAUACGAUUAAUGUGUAUUCCUUUCGAAAAAGAUACGAUUACUUGUUAUUUAUAAUACGAAUAUUCUCUUGAAACAACGUGUAAAUUGACGCGAAAAACUGAAUUCAAAAUUAAAAAGAGCCGAAAUUAGAUUUGUGCAAAACGAAGUAUCCUAACGAAUAAAGGCAUGCUGGAUGCAUAGUAAAAUGAGAAGAACGACAAAGACGAAAGAAAAAAAUGGAUAGAAUUUUCACACUAAUUUAGCAUAUAUCGAUUAAAAGCAUUGUUGAAUAUUAUUUACUAGAUUUUCACUGUAUCCGAUGAUCGUACGUAAUAUAAUUUUUCCUUUUUCUCUCUUUCUCUCUUAGAUUCUUUCGUUUCUUUCUAGCGUUUCUCUUUGGCUCAAUUCGACAAAGAACAGUCGAACCUGUGGAAAUCCUGUCUCCGGUCUGUACGGUUAGUCCGUAGUAAGAGCGAGUGAGAGAACGGAAGAGAAAGAGAGGGAGAAUGAGGGAGGGGUAGAAGCAUGGGUACACGAACGAGGUGGUUCGAAAAGGGGUAGGAAGGAAGAGGGAUGGAGCACUCGUUGAUUUCCCGUUUUCAUAUUCAAUAUGAUCUGUCUCGGCAUUGUAUUCAUUGAAAACGAGUCAACCGCAUGCAAGAUCAGGAACCGGGCGCCAGAAACGAGAGUGGAUCAUGGAAGCUCUCGGUCUCUUUCUCUCUCUCUCUCUCUCCCUCUCUCUCUUUCCUUCCCUCUUACCCAUUCGCUCUCUCUCUCUCUCUCUCUCUCUCUCUCUCUCCUUUCAACGUUGGCAAUGAUGGUGAUGCUAGUGGUAGUGCCGCCACUGACGACGACGGUGUUGGUAAUGGUGGAUAGGUCGUUGCGGUGGUUGGAUGGAUGGUUAGUUGGUAGGUAGGUUGGUUGGCUGGCUGGUUCUCUACUCCAACUAAUGAAAGGAGACUCGUAGUAGGGUCCGUAGGUUGCUUGCUUGGCUGAGGUUUAAAGUCGAUGUGUCCUCUUCACGGUGGAUCAUGGCGAGAGCACGAACGAGAGAAGAGGUUGGGCAAAGUAGUGCAGGAACCGAAAUGAGAGCGAGAAAGACCUGGAGAUGGAGAUGGAUGUUUCGAGGAAGAAUCUCCCUACAUCUCACUCGCGUAGAUAUCUUUUGAGAUUCGCACAAGAUUUCUGGAUGGGUGGAGUUCGCAAUGUGGGCUCGUGUAUUUAGAAAGUCGAAACUGAGUUCGGAAUUCUCGUAUCUUUACAACAAAGUUUACUUUAAUAAUAAUUGAUGAAGAUCGUUGAAUUAUUAACAUGUAUGGAAAAUAUAAUGAUUAUUUUUAUAAAUAAAUGUAAAAGGUAAAAUUCAAUUAUUCGAGAAAUAAAUUUAAUAAUAAUAUAAAUGACUAAAAAGGAGGACGUGACGUGAGACUUGCAAAUAUCGAUUGCGAUAUUUUAAAUCGAUAAUUUGAUCUUUUACUUUAUGAAAAGCAAGUACUAACAAUAUUAAAAAGAUUUAAAAAGAUAAAUUUAAAUGAUUUAUUUAUAAUUGGUUUAAUACUGUUCUGAAUUUUUCUGACCAGUAAAAAUAAACAUGGUUAAUAAAACAUCGUUCGGUAUAUUGUCAUUAAAGAAGUAAUUUAGGUAAUGAAUAGUAAUAUUUUUAAGUUUGUUAAUUCAAACGAGUUGCUUUAGAUGUUUCACUCUUAUCAAAUUAAAAGUCUAGCAGGAUCUCUUGUAAAAAAGGAGGAUAUUGCAAAAUCAUACAA